GAUGAAGAACGUAGCGAAAUGCGACAAGUAAUGUGAAUUGCAGAAUUCCGUGAAUCAUCGAAUCUUUGAACGCACAUUGCGCCCGCCAGCACUCUGGCGGGCAUGCCUGUCCGAGCGUCAUUUCAACCCUCAGGGCCCCUUCGGGGGACCUGGCGUUGGGGAUCGGCCCGCCCCCGUGCGGCGCCGUCCCCGAAAUAUAGUGGCGGUCUCGCUGCAGCCUCCCCUGCGUAGUAGCACACCUCGCACUGGAGAGCGGCGCGGCCACGCCGUGAAACCCCCAACUUCUGAAUGUUGACCUCGGAUCAGGUAGGAAUACCCGCUGAACUUAAGCAUAUCAAUAAGCGGGGA
rnacentral:misc_RNA from 1 species